UUGCACGAUGCACUUCCCCGGGCUUUUCUGAAUGAGUAAUCAAUUGAUGAUGGCGAAAGCCCCAUUGCUCUUGCUAAAACAAGCCGACGCCAAGUGUUGCAGUUCAGCCAUUCUCUUUAUCCACAACUGAGCUGUUUCAAAUUGAUGCCCAUAUCU